rnacentral:tRNA from 1 species
GGGCAGGUGGCGUAAUUGGUAGCCGCGCAGGACUUAAAAUCCUGUGGUGAAAACCGUGAGGGUUCGAUUCCCUCCCUGCCCA